rnacentral:rRNA from 1 species
AUUCCAGCUCCAGUAGCGUAUAUUAAAGUUGUUGCAGUUAAAAAGCUCGUAGUUGGAUUUCUGGUUUCACAGAACUGGCCUACUUCCUCAAGGUCGUGUGCGCCGUGUUUUGUGUACCAUCCUUCUAGAAAUUGUGUUCCAUCCCUUCACUGGGAUAGAUCCGAGAUCUAGAUCUUUUACUUUGAAGAAAUUAGAGUGUUCAAAGCAGGCUCGCGCUGUGAAUACAUUAGCAUGGAAUAAUAAUUUAGGACUUGGUAUCCUAUUUUGUUGGUUUUCGGAAAUCGACUUAAUGAUUAAUAGGGAUAGUCGGGGGCAUUCGUAUUCAAACGACAGAGGUGAAAUUCUUGGACCGUUUGAAGACGAACUAAGGUGAAAGCAUUUGCCAAGGAUGUUUUCAUCA